rnacentral:rRNA from 1 species
AGAGCGAACGCUGGCGGCAGGCCUAACACAUGCAAGUCGAGCGCCCGUAGCAAUACGGGAGCGGCAGACGGGAUAGUAACACGUGGGAACGCGCCCUUCGGUUCGGAAUAACUCAGGGAAACUUGAGCUAAUACCGGAUACGCCCUUACGGGGAAAGAUUUAUUGCCGAAGGAACGGCCCGCGUCCGAUUAGCUAGUUGGUGAGGUAAUGGCUCACCAAGGCGACGAUCGGUAGCUGGUCUGAGAGGAUGACCAGCAUCACUGGGACUGAGACACGGCCCAGACUCCUACGGGAGGCAGCAGUGGGGAAUAUUGGACAAUGGGCGCAAGCCUGAUCCAGCCAUGCCGCGUGGAUGAUGAAGGCCUUAGGGUUGUAAAGUCCUUUUAACGGGAGAUAAUGACGGUACCCGUAGAAUAAGCCCGGCUAACUUCGUGCCAGCAGCCGC